GACGUCGUAUAUCGACGUCAUAAACACCAAAGUUGAUCGUGUUUAUGACGUCGUAUAUCGACGUCAUCAACACCAAAGUUGACCGUGUUUAUGACGUCGUAUAUCGACGUCAUAAACACCAAAGUUGAUCGUGUUUAUGACGUCGAAUAUCGACGUCAUAAACACCAAAGUUGAUCGUGUUUAUGACGUCGUAUAUCGACGUCAUCAACACCAAAGUUGAUCGUGUUUAUGACGUCGUAUAUCGACGUC